AGAGUUUGAUCCUGGCUCAGAUUGAACGCUGGCGGCAUGCCUUACACAUGCAAGUCGAACGGCAGCACGGGGGCAACCCUGGUGGCGAGUGGCGAACGGGUGAGUAAUACAUCGGAACGUGUCCUGUAGUGGGGGAUAGCCCGGCGAAAGCCGGAUUAAUACCGCAUACGAUCUACGGAAGAAAGCGGGGGAUCCUUCGGGACCUCGCGCUAUAGGGGCGGCCGAUGGCAGAUUAGCUAGUUGGUGGGGUAAAGGCCUACCAAGGCGACGAUCUGUAGCUGGUCUGAGAGGACGACCAGCCACACUGGGACUGAGACACGGCCCAGACUCCUACGGGAGGCAGCAGUGGGGAAUUUUGGACAAUGGGGGAAGCCCUGAUCCAGCAAUGCCGCGUGUGUGAAGAACGCCUUCGGGUUGUAAAGCACUUUUGUCCGGAAA
rnacentral:rRNA from 1 species